rnacentral:rRNA from 1 species
UACGAAGGGGGCUAGCGUUGUUCGGAAUUACUGGGCGUAAAGCGCGUGUAGGCGGGUCUUUAAGUCAGGGGUGAAAUGCCAAGGCUCAACCUUGGAACUGCCUUUGAUACUGGAGAUCUUGAGUCCGGGAGAGGUGAGUGGGAAUUGCGAGUGUAGAGGUGAAAUUCGUAGAUAUUCGCAAGAACACCAGUGGCGAAGGCGGCUCACUGGCCCGGAACUG